rnacentral:sRNA from 1 species
AGUUUAAAUAUUACGUAGUUUGUUAAGCUUUUUGCAAUUGUCCCAAUCAGAAUAAACCAGCUUCUAAUCCGUGGACUCAGAACGAAUGAAUGGUCUACUGCCACCCUUGUCACAGGGGACCAAGCAACCUUGGAGAAUCCACCUGCAACAUUCCUCAGAGAAGCUGCAACAUUACUUUAAAAGAAGUUAUAGCAGUGCAUACUAUUGUUGCUUUCCUACAAUGUAGCAAACAGAAACUUUGGUUCCAGAAUGUUCCUGAAUGUAACACAGUAAAAUUUCUUGAUAGGAAUGCUUUACAAAAGAUGUCAUUGAAGAUACCCAGUUUGGAAGUUAAGGCAUUGGCUCUGACAUUAGUUUUGCCCCAUCUAAGCUUAGUUUGGUAGAGUCGUAUAUAGGGCAGGAUCUAGCUAAUAACUGUCCUUAACUCAAAAGCAUAAUCUUAUUUCAGGUAGACAGCCACACCAACUUAAUUGCCAACCAGAUAAAUGGUGAUCACUUGAAAUCUGUUUUAUACUUAUAAAUAAAUCUUGAAAUAUUAUCCGUGCUUAAAAGA